rnacentral:rRNA from 1 species
GACGAACGCUGGCGGCGUGCCUAAUACAUGCAAGUAGAACGCUGAAGAGAGGAGCUUGCUCUUCUUGGAUGAGUUGCGAACGGGUGAGUAACGCGUAGGUAACCUGCCUUGUAGCGGGGGAUAACUAUUGGAAACGAUAGCUAAUACCGCAUAACAAUGGAUGACACAUGUCAUUUAUUUGAAAGGGGCAAUUGCUCCACUUCAAGAUGGACCUGCGUUGUAUUAGCUAGUAGGUGAGGUAAUGGCUCACCUAGGCGACGAUACAUAGCCGACCUGAGAGGGUGAUCGGCCACACUGGGACUGAGACACGGCCCAGACUCCUACGGGAGGCAGCAGUAGGGAAUCUUCGGCAAUGGGGGCAACCCUGACCGAGCAACGCCGCGUGAGUGAAGAAGGUUUUCGGAUCGUAAAGCUCUGUUGUAAGUCAAGAACGGGUGUGAGAGUGGAAAGUUCACACUGUGACGGUAGCUUACCAGAAAGGGACGGCUAACUACGUG